CUAGCCUUCCAAGCUAAC
rnacentral:tRNA from 1 species